AGGGGUAUGGUUAUAGGUAGGGUUAGGGGUAGGGUUAGGGGUAGGGUUAGGGUUAGGGAUAGGGGUAGGGUUAUGGUAGGGUUAGGGAUACCCCUAACCCUACCCCGACUUUUAACCCUACCCCAAACCCUACCACUAGACCUAACCCUACCCCUAACCUUACUUCUACCUCCACCCCAACCACUAACUCUACCCCAACCCCUAACCCUACCCCAACCCUAACCCCAACCCUCUCCUGUUUUGCCACUUUUCAGAA